rnacentral:rRNA from 1 species
AUUCCAGCUCCAAUAGCGUAUACUAAAGUUGUUGCAGUUAAAAAGCUCGUAGUUGAAUUUCUGGUCGUGGCGACCGGUCCGCCCCUCACGGGGUGUGCACCUGGUGUCUGCGUCCAUCCUCGGGGAGAGCGCGUCUGGCAUUCAGUUGUCGGGCGCGGGAUCCUCGUCAUUUACUGUGAGCAAAAUAGAGUGUUCAAAGCAGGCUUAGGCCGUUGAAUACAUUAGCAUGGAAUAAUAAGAUAGGACCUUGGUCUAUUUUGUUGGUUUGCAUUCCAAGGUAAUGAUUAAUAGGGAUAGUUGGGGGUAUUCGUAUUCAAUUGUCAGAGGUGAAAUUCUUGGAUUUAUGGAAGACGAACUACUGCGAAAGCAUUUACCAAGGAUGUUUUCAUCA